UACAUGUCCGAUCCUUUUAAACCACCUCGUUUUCAGUUGCAGUGCAUAAAAAUAAUAAAUGAUAGUAUCUUAGACCCAAUUUGCUUUGCCUCUCUGACACGAAAGACAAAUGUAAUUAAUGACAUAAUGGCGAAACCUUGUGCUUUAAGGUUCUGACAACAAAAUGAAUAAAAGAUCAAAGUACAAAUGCUGUCCUUUAUCCAUCUGCAUAGAUUACAGUUUAUGACCUUUGUUUGUGUAAGUUACUCCGUGUUCCUCCUUUCUCUAUUACUACUGUCAAAGCUAGGAUUCUGUGAUGACAGAGUACGGGAAUCUAUGUGCGGAACGAUGAACAGCUUUAGUAAUGAAACAAGCAAACAGAAUCCAAAUCGCAAUACAGAAUCAAAGAGGGGAAAAGAACAGGCAGGAAGGCCAAUAAACACAGUCCUGACAGAGGGUGAGGAGUCUGGCAGUAAUGCAAUAAUCGCUGUGUGUGUGAAGCGCAGAGAGACGGAGCCAUGCAUUAGGACAAGCAGCGUGCAUGUUUAUUCCGCAACCCCUGCAGCCUUGUUCUGGUUUGAAAACUACUGGAUUCUAUCCUGAGGCAUCCAGAAAUUGUACCAGCUCUGAUUGUCUUUAGUGACAUGAAGGUUUUGGACCUUCACUGAGAUGAGGCCAAGCAUUUGAGGAUCCUGAGAUAUCUAGAGAUUUACCAGCUCCAGUUGGACUCUGCUUCAUGAAGUAUUCAGACAUACUAAGAGGAGAUGCCAACUACAUGUGGUCUUUGAGGACAGACUGACAGACUGUAUAUUUUUACACCUCCAGUGUCACCCAAAUGAGGAUGGGUUUCCCUUUGAGUCCUCUCAAGGUUAUUCCUUUACCAUCCAAGGGAGUUUUUCCUCGCCACAGUCACCUCAGUCACC